rnacentral:tRNA from 1 species
CCCGCCGUAGCUCAGUGGUAGAGCACCCGGCUCUUAACCGGGAGGACGUUGGUUCGAGCCCAGCCGGCGAGC